CAAACCAACAUAAAACUCAGAAUAAAACUAAGAAAAAGGAUAGAGAAGGUAAAGAGAUAAGGAAAGAAAAGGAAGGAGCAAUGAGAGAAGAUCACCUCUAGAGAAAAAUACUCGUCUCACCAAUUGGCAAAGAUAUUUGUCACUGAUUGUUAGUCAGGAAUAGACACUUAUGGUAGAAUGGUGAAGUAGAAAAGAAAAUUUAGUCACUUGAUUUCGAAGAGAUGAACAUUGAAGAUAGAAGACUUUAAAGAG
rnacentral:lncRNA from 1 species